rnacentral:lncRNA from 1 species
UUUGGCAAAACUUUUGAAGGGCCAUAAAGGGGCAAAGCUUUUGAAGAGUCAGAAAACACUUUCUGGUCCUCCAAAAGUAUUUUUAGAUGAAAAAGAGGUGUUCAGUAAAAAAAAUUGGAAAGCUGUUUUAGUUUUGCCAAAAAAACUAAAACAUAUUUUGGGAGAAACUCCAUUUUGGAGCUUUUCCAGAAAAACACUUUUAGGCCAUGUCAAGAAGCUGUUUCUUUUGUAGACCAAAAUAUCCAUAAUAAAAUAUAAUAAUUACAUAAAAUAAUAAUAAUAUAUAAUGAUAAUAAUUAUAAUAUUUUAUACUUUAUUAUUGUAUUAUACUUAAAUAUAAUAUUAUAUUACAUUAUAUCAUA